GCUGGCCAAGGCGCGACUGUGUUUGAAGAUUGCAUCGAAUAUAACUGCAAAUUGGUUCAUUAAACUUGUUUGCGGAACUCAAUGUUGCAAGAUUAAGUUGUGUGUGCAGAAAAAUCGUACUAGUCGGAUUGUGAUCUCUUAUGUAUGGGAUGCUGCGACAGUGCGCAAGGCAAUUGAGAAUGGAUACAAAAUGGAAGUCUUGAUAUCCCGACCACGUGGUCAACGACUGAUGUUCUAAAUGGCUAUCGGUGGAUAUCUAUUGAAUGAAGAUGCUGUGGUCAAUGCAUGUACUCUGCCGGUCAUUUACACGUGUAUAAAAACAUGUGACUUUACAUGGUCUAAAUGAUCUUUUGGUUUUGUGGCAAAAGGAGCCGUAUGGAAAUUAAUGCAAGUGGUUGAACAUUUUAGGUUCGACACGUCUAACGUCCCACGUGCCUAUCCACCACAAAUAUAUGCACAUAGCCCAAUAAAUGCUAAUAAAUGACUACAUUUCAAAUAUUAAAAA